CCUACGGGAGGCAGCAGUGGGGAAUAUUGGACAAUGGGCGAAAGCCUGAUCCAGCGACUCUGCGUGGAGGAUGAAGCAUUACGGUGUGUAAACUCCUUUUCUGGUAGAAGACGACUGACGGUAUACCAGGAAUAAGCAUCGGCUAACUACGUGCCAGCAGCCGCGGUAAU
rnacentral:rRNA from 1 species